rnacentral:rRNA from 1 species
CCUACGGGAGGCAGCAGUGGGGAAUACUGCACAAUGGGGGCAACCCUGAUGCAGCGAUGCCGCGUGAGUGAAGAAGUACUUCGGUAUGUAAAGUACUAUCAGCAGGGAAGAAGCAAGACGGUACAUGACUAGGAAGCCUCGGCUAACUACGUGCCAGCAGCAGCGGUAAUACGUAGGGGGCAAGCGUUAUCCGGAUUUACUGGGUGUAAGGGGAGCGUAGACGGUAUGGCAAGUCUGAAGUGAAAGCCCCGGGCUUAACCGUGGUACUGCCUUGGAGACUGUUAGGCUAGAGUGCUGUAGAGGGAAGUAGAAUUCCUGGUGUAGCGGUGAAAUGCGUAGAGAUUAGGAGGAACACCAGUGGCGAAGGCGGCCUACUGGACAGUGACUGACGUUGAGGUGCGAAAGCGUGGGGAGCAAACAGGAUUAGAUACCCUUGUAGUC